rnacentral:lncRNA from 1 species
GCUGAGCGGUUUAUGUGUGCUGGAGUUUGCUCCGGCGGCGUGGAGAGGAGCUGCAGCCGGCGCAUCGCAAAGGGAUGGAGGCCCCCUUCUCCCAGCCAGUCACCGAUUAUAUGUGGGUACGUGUAUUUCUGCAACCUCAUCUGAAGCAUACUAUUCUAUUAUGCUCGAAGCCCAAAUAGUAAACAGGAUGCGCUUUGCAUAGAGUCGAUGCUCACAAACAUGGGGCUAAUUAUACAUGGUAAACAUGAAUAAACUAUAGGUCUUACCGAACCAAAUUAGAUAGGAGUCUGCGUGCGUUUAUCUUAGCGGCGUGGCACCCGGGUUGAUAGUGGAGCUGAUUGAAUUGGAGGCGGGGACAGAUUAGCAGGAAACCAAUGCCACGAAGAGUGCGUGAGGUUCGUAUGCCAAGCAGACUUAUAUGCAACCAUGGAUAGGAAAGUGAUCCCGUAUUAAUUAAUUAGAGUUAAUGCGCAUUAUUACACAAGGAAUUAGUGGGGAAACAAAAAAAAGGAAAGAACAUAGAUAUAGCAGUUGAUCCCGGACAGAAUCUCAUCUGUCAUUGAUUUCUUUCAUCUAGCUGGAUUUAUAAUGAUGACAACACGUACUAUAAAAAUAGAUCCUUGUGAAGCUGUUUUAGAGGCGACGAACACUAAGUGGCUGUGCGAACAUAAUAACAUUUGAACAUCAUUAUAGAGCAUCGAAGUGAAUUUUGCAUCAGACUUGAACCCUCCUCAUUCGUUGAACGUGAACAUGGCUCGUUCGUUGAACAAUCAAGUUGGCCCGGUUGAGCAUCUCCUAGUGCCGCACGGCAGGCUGCCAGCUCGUAGGACUGCUGGUUGUCUGGUUGGAAGACAAGCUGGCUCAUGUAUGUCGUUUUCAAGAACCGUACAAAAUAGGUUUAAUAAAACAACAUACAAUCCAUAUUUUUAUAUAAGAUGGUCAUGUUAAACAUUCUUCGAUUACACAAGCACUCACGUUGUGCUCUGUUGACCUCAAGCAGUGUGGCACCUAAAGUCCAGAGCCCCUGCUUUGCUAGUCCCCACCGCAUCAAGUGGCGUGACACAUGCUGGUCCCAGACACGUAGGUAGAUAAACUCCCUCCUGGUUGAGCAAUAAAAUGUUAGCCCACUGCCAUGCAUCACAUGUCGGUAUGGUGUGGUACGGUCGUCUGACCUGUAUAACAUUAUUUUGCUGACAUGCAUCACUAUGCCAAUGACAUCUAGGAAAAAAUGAUGUGAAUUUGUUAAGAAAGUCUGGCUCAACUACAUGUCAGCAAAAUUCAUUGUGAGAUGAUACAAUGCACCUGCAAGCAUCCUGUUUCUGAGGCUGUAGACAUCUAUAAAAUCAAUGAAUCGUGGCGGCAACGAAGGGAUGUUAAUGCUGGCCCUGGCAAGAAGUAUUUCAGUGCGCGAGUGGAGGGCGAUGUAAAAGUCACAUGGCACCGGCAAUGCAACUGGCAGAUGCAUAGCUGCUGGUUCAAAACCAACUUUUUUGAAUAAGUGUACUGAGCCGGCACGUAGGUUGUCACUGAAGCGAUAUGCGAUCGGUUGAAAUGGAUCAAAUGCAAUUGCAUCCAUUUUGACCCCCUGAAAAUCUAUUGCAUACAUUAGCAGCAUGUUGAAUAUAUUAUCAGCAGAUCACUUGAUAGCAUAUCUUCUUUGAAUACUUACAGUUUGGUCGAUGAGGAUGGCGUGAAAGAUGACUGCUCCACUGCGGGUAUGUUUGAUGCGAGCAUACAAAACCUUUGCCGUUGCGUCCCAACCUCUAGUGUAUAUAUGUAGGUUUUCUAUUUCGCCGAACCUUACAUGUCUGCAAUUGGUUGACAAAGAGCACAAUUCUGUAUAUUUCCUAAUGCAAAUAACUAAAAGCAGGAAUGGAUAAAAUGUUGCCUGGCGAUCGGCGGUGGAGGGCCAACGGGAGCGGGAACGAAGUUCACAGGCGGUGGUGCCAUGACCCUCUGUGAGCCAGGACGGCCCAUCCUGGGUCCCAUCGGCAUGAGUGCUAAGACCCGAUUUCUCUUCUAACACGACUCAUGGUUCAGAACGCAAGGACGUAUAUUGACUGAUCUGACUAUUUUCAUUUUCAUUGGCGCCAAGUAAACCAUGGUGAUAGGAAAAAGGAAGUGAUUGAAAGAAGGAGAUUGAUCAACGUUUGAUUGAAAGAAGGAAGGAGAUUUAUCACCGUCAUGAAUGAAUUGAUUGCCAUGCAUGAAUUGAUUGUUGAUUGAUUCCGCUUGGUUGCCUUAUGUGAAUUAUUUCUUUACCAAAGAUAGAGUCGAUUGGAGGGAGAAAAGAAAAUCGGCAGAGGGAGAAAAUCGGUGGGGAGAAAACCGGUGUCGGGAGAAAAAAAUCGCUAGAGGGGAGGGGGAUCGUAUGAAGGGGUUGAACGAAGAGGGGAAACGGAACCUUACGUUUCUUUUAGAUAAAAUAUAUAGUAGAGAAGAGAUAGAGAUUUCUCUAUGGAACGCGUGUGCUGCAGACCCGCGGCGCUGCUGUUCCAUUGGUCUUCUCUGCAACUACGCAGGCGCGCGGCCAACAAUUACGAAGCGACAGGCUAAGCCGCCUCUUAUCCGAACCUUCUUCGCCCAAUGGUGAAGCGACGCCGAUGCGGUGGUCACCUUCGAACGAGAUUUCGGCCGAUCAGAAGCAGAUGCAGCGGCCGCGGAAAACGCCGCCGGGAUAAACGCCAAGGCGGAGUCGGCCGCGUGCUUCCCAUUCGCAUGCCUGUAGUGGGUUGUGGGCGCAAAAGAGAACUGAACGUCGUACGUCCCUGUUAAUCAUGAUUGAUUCUUGCAGAGACGGCAGGCGCGCACGGAUUUAGGCGGCAGAAUAUUCACACGGCCUGAUUAAGUACACAGACAAAGCGACAAGCUAAUCAUCAUCUUAUCCGGAAGCUUUUCGGCCGCCGAUGAAGCGACGCCGACCGCCGAAGCAGUUCACUGUUAAGCUUAUCGAUCAAGGAAGCAGAGGCCACGACAGCGGCGGCGGCGGUAGACGGCGCCGGGUAGACGCCGGGCGCAGCCGACCUCGUGGCUCCCGUUCACAUACCUGUAGUCGUAGGGGGGCGGACGGCUCAUGAAACUACGUCACAGUUCAUCUCGUGGGGAAAAGGUCACAGGUCAAAAUCGUGGUAGCGACAGACGCAAAACACAGAGCGAGGAAAGGCUAAAGACGGCAAAAGGACAAUAACCAAGAAGUUAUUAGAUUAAGCAGCGGGGUACUUACACGAUCUAGCUAAGUACAGUGGUCUUUUAGGUUAUUUCUCGUUAGGCGUUAUGCUAGUACUGGGAUACUACGGACUCCAAAAGCUAUUGGUUACUCAGUACAAUCGAUGGAAGAUGGUAGCUCUGACUAUAUUCAAUCGGUUUGGAUGUCGGUCGCAUAACAUGAUAGGUGUUUAGGGCCUUAGUCCUUUCUUUCAUACCGGUUGUGGCAUUGCGCUGUGCUUCUUUUGCGAGUUGUAAUACUUUUAAGAUUUUGUGACACGCUGGGACUUUUAAUAAAAUAGUUGCAUGCAUCGUUCAGAUGCAGAGGCCGGGGGCAAGCCUCCUUUUUCAAAAAAAAUAAGACGAAAGUAGUACUAUAUAAGAGGCAGAAAGGAAGAGAAAGAUUGUGGUGGCUCCAUGGGCACCAUUCCCAAGUCCAGAAUUGCUGGGGAGAUAGGAUGGGAAGCCGCAUUUCUCCAUGGGCAGCUUCUCACGUCCAAACCCAAGAAUUUCGGCAAAAACAGAACCCAGACAAACAAGAAUGCCAUGAAACACAUGUCCCAUGUUCGUCAUCCAAUGAUCUCGUCUGGCACCGUCAUAAACCUCAUCCGCUUCUGCAGCAAAAAGAACAAAAUGAUGUAAGACUUGAUUACACCGACACAUGCAUACAAUUUGCACUAUGGAUUUCUGGUGCCUAGGAAUAAAAUGUAGGAAUACCUUCUAGCUUUCCUUUUACUCUAACGCUUUGUGUCUACCUUUUAUUUAUUUGAAACUAUUUGUUCUAUAAUUGGAAUGGCAAAAAUUGACUCCAUCGUAAGUUUUGGCCACAUACUAAGGUUGUGUUUGGUUGAGCUUAUUUUUCCAACUUCUAUUUUCAAAAAGGUAGAAGCUAACCAAGGAAAUAAUUUUAACAUCGGCUUUUGUAAAAUCUACAGCUUUCACGUAGUGUAAAAUCUUGCAGCCAGCCUAUCUCAACUUCUUCAGAUUCUUAGCGAACCGUUUUCAGUUGUCCCCUAGAAGUUGCAUUACUAUUUACCAACCUCUGCCUCUCUCAAGUGAAAAACGAUUGGGUGAAUAUAGAAAGCUAUCAGCAAACCCACCAACCCAUUUCCUCCAAACAAACAGAGCAACCACCACUUCCCACCCAGAUGGCUAGGGUUCCUGCCCGACCGCUGCUGCUUGUGGCCCUUCGGCGUCGUGCACCCAGCCGCCCCUCCGCCUCCAUCCCUCACGUUGGUCUAGCCUCCGUCCCCAUCGAUCUGCUCGUCCUGGCGGGUAGUGAGGCCCUCCCGCGAGCAGUCGCUCCCGCCCAGCUGCCCCAUCACAGACGCUGAUGAGUAGAGCUACGGCGUGAGGUAGCCAACACUCGUCCUUCCUUCCUUGUUCCCUCAUCCACUCCUUCAUGUUCUCGUUGUACAAAUUAGUAGGAUGUUGUGUUUGUUUAAAAAAAAUCAUGGACUUGUUUCGGAUGAGUACUUGUUGUAGAGAGUAUAUAUAUGUUCAGAAUAUGGUGAGGGUGAUUUCUUAUAUGUGCUUUCAGUGUUGAUUUUUCUCUAUUCUAGGAGACUACAAGGCAAAUGCAGGUGGUCACUAAAGCAUUUUUCAUUAUGAAUGGACACUGAAGACGUGAAGGAUUGCAUGGGUCUGAUAUUUUGGUGUUGCCGACAUAACCAAGAUGGUUGUCAUAUGAAUGUACAUUGGUUGCUAGUUAUUUCGUGAUCCUUUUAGUUUCGUUAUGUCUAUAGCUUAUGAUGAAAUAUUAGGCGGUGAUAUGUCGAUCGCGUCAUCUCACUGGUCAUUUGGCUGGAGCCUGAAGAAUAUGUCAAAUGCAUAUUUUCCUUUCGUAUUUACUUUUCGUGUCAGCCUGAUCUCGGUAAUGAUCUAAUGAUUCUCUAAUAUGAUAUAGAGCGAUGUUAUCAAUUAUUCCAUUAUUAUGAGAAAAAGGAAAGAAAAAACAGAGGGAGUGAAAUAGGCGUUGUUGUUGCUUGAUGCUAUAUUGCUCGAGUGAAUCCGAUAACUAUUGGUGGAAAAGGUAGUUUCAUUACUUUCCAUACCCUGAUUCAUGAUCUUAUUUGAUUGCUUCAUGAAAUACUCUUGUGAGCUGUAAUUGGAGUAAUUAUGUUUUUUACACCUUUUCAUUGUAAUUUUGGAGCUAUUUUUC